ACCAGACUCCUACGGGAGGCAGCAGUGGGGAAUAUUGCACAAUGGGGGAAACCCUGAUGCAGCGACGCCGCGUGAGUGAAGAAGUAAUUCGUUAUGUAAAGCUCUAUCAGCAGGGAAGAAAAUGACGGUACCUGAGUAAGAAGCCCCGGCUAACUACGUGCCAGCAGCCGCGGUAAUACGUAGGGGGCAAGCGUUAUCCGGAUUUACUGGGUGUAAAGGGAGCGUAGACGGCAGUGCAAGUCUGGAGUGAAAGGCGGGGGCUCAACCCCCGGACUGCUCUGGAAACUGUACGGCUGGAGUGCAGGAGAGGUAAGUGGAAUUCCUAGUGUAGCGGUGAAAUGCGUAGAUAUUAGGAGGAACACCAGAGGCGAAGGCGAUUAACUGGACCGUAACUGACGCUGAGGCACGAAAGUGUGGGUAGCAAACAGGAUUAGAUACCCCGGUA
rnacentral:rRNA from 1 species